AUGGGGGGUGGAGGGGGAGUUCCCCUCACCCACUUCAGCCUUCCAGUCUGCUCCCCCUUCCUGUACCUCUCUCUUCCAGAACCCCAGGCCAAGCACCAGAGAAGGCCUGGGAGUGAGCAAGGUGCCCAUGUUGCUUCUGUGGAUCAUCCUCCUGCUUGUACAGCCCUGGGAGGGCCUGGGAACGCCCCUCUGCUGGAGGGGCGUUUUUACUUUCUUGCAGCCCUCUGAAGAUACUAGUGAGUGGGGAGCAGAGCCAGCAGACAGGUGAAAACAAAAAUGAUGACACCCUCUACACCCCAGAUGAUCUCUCAAUACCAGGUCACUCUGUCCCUACUGUGUGUCCUGCUGAGACUCUAGGCUGCUUCAGGUUGGAGCUGUCUGUGAUUGGGUUUGAGGAGGGACCAUCUAUGGGAACUGCUGUGUUCCAGCUACAGUGCCUGCUGGAUCCCCUGGGGUCCCGGCU
rnacentral:sRNA from 1 species